GGAGAGGUGACAGAGUGGCCGAAUGUGCUGGUCUCGAAAACCAGUGUACCUUCACGGGUACCGUGGGUUCGAAUCCCACCCUCUCCG
rnacentral:tRNA from 1 species